rnacentral:rRNA from 1 species
CCCUUAGAUGUUCUGGGCCGCACGCGCGCUACACUGAUGCAUUCAACGAGCCUAUCCUUGACCGACAGGUCCGGGUAAUCUUUGAAUCUGCAUCGUGACGGGGAUAGAUUAUUGCAAUUAUUAAUCUUCAACGAGGAAUGCCUAGUAGGCGCAAGUCAUCAGCUUGCGUCGAUUACGUCCCUGCCCUUUGUACACACCGCCCGUCGCUCCUACCGAUUGGGUGUGCUGGUGAAAUGUUCGGAUCGGCCGUUUGUCGCGGUUUCCGCGUCAUGUGGCUGAGAAGUUCAUUAAACCCUCCCACCUAGAGGAAGGAGUAGUCGUAACA